CCCUUAGAUGUUCUGGGCCGCACGCGCGCUACACUGACGAAUGCAAUGAGCUUAUAACCUUGGCCGAAAGGUCUGGGUAAUCUCCAAAUUUCGUCGUGAUGGGGAUAGAUUAUUGCAAUUAUUAAUCUUCAACGAGGAAUGCCUAGUAAGCGCAAGUCAUCAGCUUGCGUUGAUUACGUCCCUGCCCUUUGUACACACCGCCCGUCGCUCCUACCGAUUGAAUGGUCCGGUGAAGCGUUCGGACCGUGGCCUUUGGACGGUUCGCCGUCUGUUGGCUGCGGGAAGUUCGUUAAACCUUAUCAUUUAGAGGAAGGAGAAGUCGUAACA
rnacentral:rRNA from 1 species